GCGGCUGGCACCGUUUCUUACAGGACGUGUCUGGAGCAUACUUACACUUCAUACAAAAUUAAAUAACAAGAAUUAACUUUAAUUAACAUACAGAGUACCCAGAAGUGUUACAUCUCUUGAAAUAUGUAUAUAAGAUACAUAUAUAUGAGGCUCUAAAGUUUUUUUUAUCUUAUAAUAUAAAAGUACAAACCGAUAACCCG
rnacentral:lncRNA from 1 species